CUGCUCCUGGCCCAGACCCAAACCCCUCCCUCCUGUCUCGAGUCGCGCUGGCCGCCUCCCUGCCGCCGCCGCCGACGGAGACAGCAAGCGUCGCCGCCGCUGGUUCCGCCUGCCGCCGGUCGCGAGCCGACGAGCCAACGGAGCAUGUACUCGCGGUGGCGUCUGCUCUCGCUCCUGCGCAACGCUCGCCUCGCCCCUGCGGGUCGUCUCGCCGCCGCGCCGUCUUUGAGGAGCUUCGGCCCACCCCACGCGGCUGCCACCUCAGGUUCUAGUGAUGGUCACUUCAGUUGUAAGUGUUCAACAUAUGCUGCUAUACUGAAUUACUGAUUGGGCAAGCAGCUGUUGUUCUUGGCCUGAGCAGCAAUUCUGUAUUGGCUCAGGAUGAUUUGGUUGCUCCAGUCCAGCAGCUACAAGUGAGCAAGCUGAUGUGAAUGUUACUGGCCUACGUCGUAUAGAAGAUGGUUCAGUGAUCUCCAAUGAACACACGAUCAAAUGGAGAAUCUGCACCGAUAAAGCACUAGAGUUUUUCCUGCAAGCAAGUAUCUCAUUAUCAUUACCUUCAUCUGAACCACCUUUUGGCAUUAUCCUUUUUCUGAGAAAAAAUCUUAGUACUACAUUAUAGUUUCCUCCUCUGUUGAAACAUAAUUCUUUUUAUUAUUCGUGUUUCUCGAAAGUGAUGCAAAAUUCAACCAUAUACCCUGUGCGUUACAAUUUUUUAACAUCUUAAUGUUGGUUGGAGUAUGAGACUGUAUGAGAGGAGGAAAGGAGGCGUGUCUCUUUAGUUACUCCUACUCGAUCCAAACUUUAAGUUAGAGUUGUUGUUAGUCUAUUAUAUCUAUUUAAUCAUUUAUAUCCAUU